rnacentral:rRNA from 1 species
GAUCCUGGCUCAGGACGAACGCCGGCGGCGUGCUUAACACAUGCAAGUCGAACGGAAAGGCCCUUCGGGGUACUCGAGUGGCGAACGGGUGAGUAACACGUGGGUGAUCUGCCCUGCACUCUGGGAUAAGCCUGGGAAACUGGGUCUAAUACCGGAUAGGACCGCAUGCUUCAUGGUGUGUGGUGCAAAGCUUUUGCGGUGUGGGAUGAGCCCGCGGCCUAUCAGCUUGUUGGUGGGGUAAUGGCCUACCAAGGCGACGACGGGUAGCCGGCCUGAGAGGGUGACCGGCCACACUGGGACUGAGAUACGGCCCAGACUCCUACGGGAGGCAGCAGUGGGGAAUAUUGCACAAUGGGCGCAAGCCUGAUGCAGCGACGCCGCGUGAGGGAUGACGGCCUUCGGGUUGUAAACCUCUUUCAGUAGGGACGAAGCGAAAGUGACGGUACCUACAGAAGAAGGACCGGCCAACUACGUGCCAGCAGCCGCGGUAAUACGUAGGGUCCGAGCGUUGUCCGGAAUUACUGGGCGUAAAGAGCUCGUAGGUGGUUUGUCGCGUUGUUCGUGAAAACUCACAGCUUAACUGUGGGCGUGCGGGCGAUACGGGCAGACUAGAGUACUGCAGGGGAGACUGGAAUUCCUGGUGUAGCGGUGGAAUGCGCAGAUAUCAGGAGGAACACCGGUGGCGAAGGCGGGUCUCUGGGCAGUAACUGACGCUGAGGAGCGAAAGCGUGGGUAGCGAACAGGAUUAGAUACCCUGGUAGUCC